GUGCCAGCCGCGCGGUAAUACGGAGGGUGCAAGCGUUAAUCGGAAUUACUGGGCGUAAAGCGCGCGUAGGUGGUUUGUUAAGUUAGAUGUGAAAUCCCCGGGCUCAACCUGGGAAUGGCAUUUAAGACUGGCAGGCUAGAGUAUGGCAGAGGUAAGUGGAAUUUCAGGUGUAGCGGUGAAAUGCGUAGAGAUCUGAAGGAACACCAGUGGCGAAGGCGACUUACUGGGCCAUAACUGACGCUGGGGUGCGAAAGCGUGGGUAGCAAACAGGAUUAGAUACCCGGGUAGUCC
rnacentral:rRNA from 1 species